rnacentral:rRNA from 1 species
GACGAACGCUGGCGGCGUGCUCACACCUGCCAGUCGAACGGAAAGGCCCUGCUUUUGUGGGGUGCUCGAGUGGCGAACGGGUGAGUAACACGUGAGUAACCUGCCCUUGACUUUGGGAUAACUUCAGGAAACUGGGGCUAAUACCGGAUAGGAGCUCCUGCUGCAUGGUGGGGGUUGGAAAGUUUCGGCGGUUGGGGAUGGACUCGCGGCUUAUCAGCUUGUUGGUGGGGUAGUGGCUUACCAAGGCUUUGACGGGUAGCCGGCCUGAGAGGGUGACCGGCCACAUUGGGACUGAGAUACGGCCCAGACUCCUACGGGAGGCAGCAGUGGGGAAUAUUGCACAAUGGGCGGAAGCCUGAUGCAGCAACGCCGCGUGCGGGAUGACGGCCUUCGGGUUGUAAACCGCUUUCGCCUGUGACGAAGCGUGAGUGACGGUAAUGGGUAAAGAAGCACCGGCUAACUACGUG